rnacentral:lncRNA from 1 species
AAAAGUUUUGAGGAGAAUGUUAGUUAAAAAAUUAAUCUAUUUUUUUAUAAAAAUUAACUGUAUGAAACGUGAAACAAACUAAGUAAAAUAUAUUGGAAAACAUUAAAAAUAUUUAGACAACAAACCAAGAAAUCGUGCACCAUAUUAUCAUAAUCAACCACAAAUAAAAUCAAACUAAUUCCCUAAAUAAGUAUCAAGAACCAAAUCAAAAACAAAAUAUCAACAAUUUUAUAACCGAGGCAGUAAGAGGAAAUCAACCUACGAGGAGGA